rnacentral:rRNA from 1 species
AGUUCGAUCAUGGCUCAGAUUGGAACGCUGGCGGGAUGCUUACACAUGCAAGUCGAACGGCAGCACGGACUUCGGUCUUGGUGGCGAGUGGCGAACGGUGAGUAAUGUAUCGGAACGUGCCUAGUAGCGGGGAUAACUACGCGAAAGCGCUAAUACCGCAUACGCCCUUCGGGGGAAAGCGGGGACCUUCGGGCCUCGCAAUUAUUAGAGCGGGCCGAUAUCGGAUUAGCUAGUUGGUGGGUAACGGCUCACCAAGGCGAUGAUCCGUAGUUGAAGUUUGAGAGGACGAAUUGGCCACACUGGGACUGAGACACGGCCCAGACUCCUACGGGAGGCAGCAGUGGGGAAUUUUGGACAAUGGGGGAAACCCUGAUCCAGCCAUCCCGCGUGCGAUGGCCUUCGCUGUAAAGCACUUUGGCAGGAAAAAGAAACGGUACGAUAAUACCCCGUAACUGACGGUACCCAGCAUCGGGCAACGGCUAACUACGUGCCAGCAGCCGCGGUAAUACGUAGGGUGCAAGCGUUAAUCGGAAUUACUUUGGGCGCGUGUGCAGGCGGUUCGGAAAGAAAGAUGUGAAAUCCCAGAGCUUAACUUUGAACUGCAUUAACUACCGAGCUAGAGUGUGUCAGAGGGAGGAAUUCCGCGUGUAGCAGUGUAGCUGCAGGGAUAUGCGGAGGAACACCGAGCUUACGAAGGCAGCCUGAUAACACUGACGCUCAUGCACGAGUGGGAUAAAUGGAUUAGAUACCCUGGUAGUCCACGCCCUAAACGAUGUCACUAGCUGUUGGGGCCUUCGCCUGGUAGCGCAGCUAACGCGUGAAGUUGACCGCCUGGGGAGUACGGUCGCAAGAUUAAAACUCAAAGGAAUUGACGGGGACUCCGCACAAGUGUGGAUGAUGUGGAUUAAUUCGAUGCAACGCGAAAAACCUUACCGUACCCUUGACAUGUCUGGAAUCCCGAAGAGAUUUGGGAGUGCUCGCAAGAGAACCGGAACACAGGUGCUGCAUGGCUGUCGUCAGCUUCGUGUCGUGAGAUGUUGGGUUAAGUCCCGCAACGAGCGCAACCCUUGUCAUUAGUUGCUACGAAAGGGCACUCUAUCGAGACUGCCGGUGACAAACCGGGAGGAAGGUGGGGAUGACGUCAAGUCUCAUGGCUCCUUAUGGGUAGGGCUUCACACGUCAUACAAUGGUCGGGACAGAGGGUCGCCAACCCGCGAGGGGGAGCGAACUGAAACCUGAUCGUAACUGGAUCGGCCUGCAACUCGACUGCGUGAAGUCGGAAUCGCUAGCAAUCGCGGAUCAGCAUGUCGUGAAUACGUUCCCGGUCUUGCACACACCGCCCGUCACACCAUGGGGAGUGGGUUUUACCAGAAGUAGUUAGCCUAACCGUAAGGAGGGCGAUUGGCACGAGGAUUCGCUGACUGGGGUGAAGUCGUGUAUCGCUGCA